CAAAUACUCCCUUCGUCCGGAAAUACUUGUCAUCAAAAUGGAUAAAAGGAAAUGUAUCUAGACGUAUUUUAGAUUUAGAUACAUCUCUUUUUAUCCAUUUUGAUAACAAGUAUUUUCGGAGGGAGGGAGUAGAAA
rfam:Triticum aestivum genome assembly, contig: Triticum_aestivum_CS42_TGACv1_scaffold_515104_6BS